rnacentral:rRNA from 1 species
AAUGAACGCUGGCGGCGUGCUUAACACAUGCAAGUCGCACGAGAACGCUUCAGCUUGCUGAAGUAAGUAAAGUGGCGCACGGGUGAGUAACGCGUGGGUAAUCUUCCCCCGAAUUGGGGAUAACCCGCCGAAAGGCGGGCUAAUACCGAAUGACAUCUUGAAAACGUAUGUUUUUAAGAUCAAAGAUGGCCUCUACAUGUAAGCUAUUGUUUGGGGAUGAGCCCGCGUACCAUUAGCUUGUUGGUAGGGUAAUGGCCUACCAAGGCUACGAUGGUUAGCUGGUCUGAGAGGAUGAUCAGCCACACUGGAACUGACACACGGUCCAGACUCCUACGGGAGGCAGCAGUGAGGAAUUUUGCGCAAUGGGGGAAACCCUGACGCAGCAACGCCGCGUGAGUGAUGAAGGCUUUCGGGUCGUAAAGCUCUGUC